GUGAGGUAAUGGCUUACCAAGGCGACGACGGGUAGCCGGCCUGAGAGGGCGAUCGGCCACACUGGGACUGAGACACGGCCCAGACUCCUACGGGAGGCAGCAGUGGGGAAUAUUGCACAAUGGGCGAAAGCCUGAUGCAGCGACGCCGCGUGAGGGAUGAAGGCCUUCGGGUUGUAAACCUCUUUCAGCAGGGAAGAAGCGGGGAAUUUUUGUUCUUCGUGACGGUACCUGCAGAAGAAGCACCGGCUAACUACGUGCCAGCAGCCGCGGUAAUACGUAGGGUGCAAGCGUUGUCCGGAAUUAUUGGGCGUAAAGAGCUUGUAGGUGGUUUGUCGCGUCUGUUGUGAAAUUUCGGGGCUCAACCCCGAACUUGCAGUGGAUACGGGCAGACUAGAGUGUGGUAGGGGAGACUGGAAUUCCUGGUGUAGCGGUGAAAUGCGCAGAUAUCAGGAGGAACACCGAUGGCGAAGGCAGGUCUCUGGGCCAUUACUGACACUGAGAAGCGAAAGCAUGGGGAGCGAACAGGAUUAGAUACCCUGGUAGUCCAUGCCGUAAACGGUGGGAACUAGGUGUGGGUCUCAUUCCACGAGAUCCGUGCCGCAGCUAACGCAUUAAGUU
rnacentral:rRNA from 1 species